rnacentral:rRNA from 1 species
CAGCAGCCGCGGUAAUACAGAGGGUGCAAGCGUUAAUCGGAAUUACUGGGCGUAAAGCGCGCGUAGGUGGUUUGUUAAGUUGGAUGUGAAAUCCCCGGGCUCAACCUGGGAACUGCGUUCAAAACUGACUGACUAGAGUAUGGUAGAGGGUGGUGGAAUUUCCUGUGUAGCGGUGAAAUGCGUAGAUAUAGGAAGGAACACCAGUGGCGAAGGCGACCACCUGGACUAAUACUGACACUGAGGUGCGAAAGCGUGGGGAGCAAACAGGAUUAGAUACCCGAGUAGUCCCUGUCUCUUAUAC